GAUGAACGCUGGCGGCGUGCCUAAUACAUGCAAGUCGAGCGAACAGACGAGGAGCUUGCUCCUCUGACGUUAGCGGCGGACGGGUGAGUAACACGUGGAUAACCUACCUAUAAGACUGGGAUAACUUCGGGAAACCGGAGCUAAUACCGGAUAAUAUAUUGAACCGCAUGGUUCAAUAGUGAAAGACGGUUUGGCUGUCACUUAUAGAUGGAUCCGCGCCGCAUUAGCUAGUUGGUAAGGUAACGGCUUACCAAGGCAACGAUGCGUAGCCGACCUGAGAGGGUGAUCGGCCACACUGGAACUGAGACACGGUCCAGACUCCUACGGGAGGCAGCAGUAGGGAAUCUUCCGCAAUGGGCGAAAGCCUGACGGAGCAACGCCGCGUGAGUGAUGAAGGUCUUCGGAUCGUAAAACUCUGUUAUUAGGGAAGAACAAAUGUGUAAGUAACUAUGCACGUCUUGACGGUACCUAAUCAGAAAGCCACGGCUAACUACGUG
rnacentral:rRNA from 1 species